rnacentral:sRNA from 1 species
AACUGAAGGUGUUUAAGGAAUCAGGGGUUCCCCACCCUGGUUUCCUUGGGGAUCACUCGGGGAGCAUGUGGAGGAGGCAGGGUCCCACCCCACUCCCCGAGUCUCAGGAUUGGGGACAGGCCUGGAAGUCCACGCUGCCCGCCAGCCCCGAGGGAGCACCCCGCAGGAGGCCCCUGCUGGCGCUGCGGCCCUUCGGUUCUGGCUCUCCACUCUUUCGGCACUGUGGCUCCCCCACCACUGUGAUUAACUGUGCCCUUCCAGGGCUGCUGGGACGGUGAGGGGUUCCGUGGGGCUCCUCCUGGCACCAGGGGUGGGCUCCGUGGGGUGUCCAAGGUGUGCCUUCCACCCGGAGAUGGUCUGCUGCCCUCGGAUCACUGGGCCGCUUCUUUCCUCUGACUAGAGGCCAAGUGUGGCUGAGCUGCUGUUACCUGGGGCAGGAGGCACAGAGAGGCCGGGCGGGCAGCCUGGGCUGUGCCCCACUCACCUUCUCCACCUACCCCAGGUACCUGGACAACAUCCACCUGCACCCCGAGGAGGAGAAGUACCGGAAGAUCAAGCUGCAGAACAAGGUGUUUCAGGAGCGCAUUAACUGCCUGGAAGGGACCCACGAGUUUUUUGAGGCCAUUGGGUUCCAGAAGGUGUUGCUUCCCAUCCAGGAUCAGGGUAAGCGGACAGGGCCUGGCUGAGUAGGGAAUGGGGACGAGGGGCCUUGGGACAGGAGGGCCCGGCUUGGGGGUCUCUCCAUUGCACAAUGACACCCAUGUCCUGCCGCGCUGUAGAGGACCCUGAGGAGUUCUACGUGCUGAGCGAGACCACCUUGGCCCAGCCCCAGAGCCUGGAGAGGCACAAGGAACAGCUGCUGGCUGCGGAGCCCGUGCGCGCCAAGCUGGACCGGCAGCGCCGUGUCUUCCAGCCCUCGCCCCUGGCCUCGCAGUUCGAACUGCCCGGGGACUUCUUCAACCUCACAGCAGAGGAGAUCAAGCGGGAGCAGAGGCUCAGGUCCGACGCGGUGGAGCGGCUGAGUGUGCUUCGGACCAAGGCCAUGCGGGAGAAGGAGGAGCAGCGGGGGCUGCGCAAGUACACCUACACACUGCUGCGCGUGCGCCUCCCCGAUGGCUGCCUCCUGCAGGGUGGGCACCGGUGAUGCCCGGGGAGGGCGGCUCGGGUUGGUAGGGGGCCCUGGGCCCCACCCGCUCUGACUCCCCCACUCCCCAGGGACCUUCUACGCCCGGGAGCGGCUGGGGGCGGUGUACGGGUUCGUCCGGGAGGCCCUGCAGAGCGACUGGCUGCCUUUUGAGCUGCUGGCCUCGGGAGGGCAGAAGCUGUCCGAGGACGAGAACCUGGCCUUGAACGAGUGCGGGCUGGUGCCCUCUGCCCUCCUGACCUUCUCGUGGGACAUGGCUGUGCUGGAGGACAUCAAGGCCGCGGGGGCCGAGCCGGACUCCAUCCUGAAACCCGAGCUCCUGUCAGCCAUCGAGAAGCUCUCGUGAAAUAAAAGCAGGGUUGGCCUCAGCCCUGUGGGUCGGUCUCAUGCUCUCCCUGUUCCUCUCCCCGCCACCCCAGGGCCUCCAAGCCACCUCUGGAAAUACUUGGCUCUGCCCCAUGGGCACGGGAGGGGCGCCAGCCAUGGAGCUGUGGAACUGGGCCCCGUGGCAGAGCCCCCAUCCCUUGGGGGCUGUGGAGAUGCACCCAAGCCCCCGAGGGAGAGGCCUGGGGCCACCAAGUCUAAGCCCCCCUAGCUGCUUGGUAACUGCGUCACGAAGCUGCCGGGCAGACACACGUGGUAUCUCCCUGGGCAGGAGAGCAGGCCUGCAGCAUGGGUCCCGUUCCCGUGUGCCGUGGGUGGCAGUGGCUGCACCUGGCGCUAGGGCUGCUCUGUGGAUGUGGGUGAUGAUGGCAGGAGGGGACGCUGGCCUUCCCACACAUAGACUUGCAGUUAGUAAAUCAUAAGCCCAAAUAAACAAGGUGUUUGAA